GCAAACUUGGUCAUUUAGAGGAAGUAAAAGUCGUAACAAGGUCUCCGUUGGUGAACCAGCGGAGGGAUCAUUACCGAGUUUACAACUCCCAAACCCAUGUGAACAUACCUUAUGUUGCUUCGGCGAGUUCGCCCCGGCGCCUUCGGGCCCGGAUCCAGGCGCUCGCCGGAGGUCUUAAACUCUUUGUUUUUACAGUGGUAUUAUCUGAGUGGAUUUUACAAAUAAAAUCAAAACUUUCAACAACGGAUCUCUUGGUUCUGGCAUCGAUGAAGAACGCAGC
rnacentral:misc_RNA from 1 species